rnacentral:rRNA from 1 species
AGCGUAGACGGCUGUGCAAGUCUGAAGUGAAAGGCAUGGGCUCAACCUGUGGACUGCUUUGGAAACUGUGCAGCUAGAGUGUCGGAGAGGUAAGUGGAAUUCCUAGUGUAGCGGUGAAAUGCGUAGAUAUUAGGAGGAACACCAGUGGCGAAGGCGGCUUACUGGACGAUGACUGACGUUGAGGCUCGAAAGGCGUGGGGAGCAAACA